UGGACUUUCAGGCUCUGGGCUAACAUCAGAGGCGCAUCCGUGCCCAUAUCAGCAACAGAGGAAGGCCAGUGCCAUCUACAAACGGGGCCGCGGAGGUGGAGAAAGCUUCAAGCUGGUCUGAGGAAUGCGAGGGUACAGAGAUGAGGAUGACUCGACAGACGCAUAAGGCAAGGAAGGGAAGACUGAAGAAGCUCCCGUACAAAGUGAGAUCCCAAAAGGGGGGGGG
rnacentral:lncRNA from 1 species